UCUCUCUGAAUCUGCGUACGGCUCCGCAAACCAGUUGUAAGCUAGAGCAAGCAAGUCUGGCGGGCUUCGGCUUCCAGACGAUAUGGAUAACCCUGGUAAUUCUGAGGCUAAUACAUGACCGUAAAACCGGGCAGCCCAGCAAUGGAUGCCCGGGGCUGUGCGAUUUGGCUUGACGAUAACCGGGAAAGGACGCACACUCUGACCGCGCUAUAAAGGAUGGAACUCCCCUCGGGGAACCCGCCCCAGCGGCUCUUGCUGUGUGCUUCUGACCUAUCAACUAGACGGCAGCGUAAAGGACAUGCUAUGGUUACAACGGGUACAGAGGAUUAGGGUUCGAUCCUGGAGAGUGGGCCUGAGAGAUUGUUAG
rnacentral:rRNA from 1 species